AUGAUAGAAGCUAUUGGACAAUAUGGCCCACAAUUGAAGAAGCCUUCUCCUUAUCAGCUUGGCAUUCCUUUGUUGGAGAACAGAGUCAGGUCACUAGAUGAAUAUGCAAAUGCACACAAGGAGGCAUGGUCGUUGACUGGAUGCUCUCUUUUGACAGAUGCUUGGACAGAUCGACGGGGAAGAAGCCUAAUGAACUUGGUAGCUCAUUCUGCUAGAGGUGUGUGGUUUCUCCGAGCUAUAGAUGCUUCCGCGGAUGUUCAUGAUGCUAAUUACAUCUACUCUUUGGCAUGCAUAGACGAAAUUGGUCCGGAGAAGGUUUUACAAGUAGUGACCAAUAAUGCUUCAAAUAACAUGGCUGCAUCAAAGUUAUUAAAACAGAAAUAUCGUCAGAUAUUUUGGACUCCUUGUGCAGCACAUACCAUUGAUCUAAUGCUUGAGGUCAUUGGUAAGAAGCCUGCUAUCCAGAAUACAAUUAAGAAAGCAAAGUCUAUUACAUGUUACAUUUAUGCCCACACUAGAGUGUUGUCUAUGAUGUGUUCUUUUACUGGUGAUCGUGAUUUAGUUCGAGCUGGAACGACUCGGUUUGCCACUUGCUACCUUAAUUUGAAAAGUCUGUAUGAAAAAAUAAAAGAACUGAAAGAAAUGUUCGGAUCAACAAAGUGGAGCGACUCUAGGUUUGCUAAGCAAAAAGCAGGAAAAGUUAUUGCUAAGUUGGUCAUGGGAAACGAUUUUUGGUCAUCAAUUAUGCGUCUUAUAAACUAUUUUGAGCCACUAGCAUUUGUACUUAGAAGGGUGGAUGGAGAUGUUCUUGCUAUGGGUUACCUUUAUGGUGAUCUUCAAAAUGCAAAAAAGGAAAUUGUUGUCCGUUUUGAUGGAAAUGCAAAGAAAUAUGGUUUCAUUUGGGAUAUUAUAGACGAAAGGUGGAACGACAAACUCAAGACUCCAUUGCAUAAAUCUGGAUAUUACUUGAAUCCAUUCUUUUAUUAUGAGAACAAGGCAGAGUUGGAGGAAGAGGUUUUCGUCGCAGCAGUUAUACAGUGUGCAGGUCGCGUGUACCAUGAUAAUGACAAAUUACAAGACGUGAUUGUUGCCCAGCUAAAUAUGUACACUAAUGGCACUGAUUCUUUUGGCUCUGCAAUGGCUAUCUGA
rnacentral:rRNA from 1 species